UUUUUGACAAUAAGUAUUUUCUCUGUCCUCCCCAGACUCUUAAGAAGUUCUUAACAGCGUCUGAGUGGCUGAGUUCAGCUUUACACCUGCACACCUGUGGUCGCCCCCAUCCCUUCAACCGUCUCCACGGUUACAGAGCGAGAGAGUAAGAGACGGAGAGAGAGAAGGGGGAAUGAUGCUAUUCGGGAAUCUGAGAAGGAGUUUGCUGGAGUGAGAAUUUGCUGUGCUUGUACUUCUGCAUGACAAUGCCCACUCACUGAUCCCACCAGAUCACAGCAGUCAUGUCCACCAAGUCAUGAGGCAAGCAGAAUGACUGAAGUGCUGAUUAAAAGGAUCUCCCUUAUCAACUGUAUACCCCUUGAGCUGUCACCUUCAACAUACCCCUUGGAGGAAUCUACUUGCAAGGAUACUGUUGGAAAUCAUAACUCAGAGGAGGAAUACUUGCCUUGAACGAGCCCUUUAUAAUGAACGCUCAUUUGAUCCAGUGUCUUUGACAAGUACCAGAGCAUGUCUUGGUCAUAUGAGACAUAUGUGUAGUAUAUGUAAUGUGAGACAGUGCUGAGUAAUCCAUUUUCACUUAUAGGAAUUGUUUACCCAAAUAAUGACCCUUUUUUUCAUACAACGAAUGUGGAUGGUGAUUUAUACUGGCAAGCAGGCCCAGAUUGGCCAUCGGGAGCAGUGCGAGAAUAUCUGGUGGUCUGGCCUGUCUUGCACCUGAUUUGACCAGCUGUUUUUAUUUUUAUUGAAUUGUUAUUUUUAAUUUAUUGCAUGCCCGAUGCAGAGUCCGCUUAUUAUAAGCAACUUAGGGCUUAUUUUCUUUCAUAAAUUAGCACAAAUAAUUGGCAAUUGCGGCUUUAUUUCCAGAAUACAGUCACGUUUUAAGGCUUAUAUCUUCCAUAGCACAAUAAAGUGUGAAAAACUACUAAUCAAAGUGGUCAAAUAUCUCCACCUACUUUUCGAGCCGCGCUCUGCAUCAGUGGCGUCAAACACACAGGUAGAUAUAUGACCAGCUCGAAACCUUUGAUCAUGCGCAUACAUGCACAUUUGCAUUUUGUAUCGGAAACUGGAUCUGUUAGUGACACUGCCACAGGGAAACCCAGUUCAUUUCCCUCACUCAUGACAAUAAUGAAAACAUGGACAGAUACGAGUAAAAAUAUCAGAAGUAAAAAGUGGAUUUAAAUAAUUAUUAGAUAUUAUGCAUUAAUACAGAUUCGAUGCUGCUAGAGUUUAACUGAGAAGCAGACUAGUAAAUAAAAAUUAUCUGUACAGUCUGCUGCAGCUCCUCCACUACCCCAAUGAUGCUUAAAGGGAUAGUUCAUUCAAAAAUGUAAUUCAGAUCAAAUUCAGUAAUUAUUGAUUACCUAACAAUGAACUACCUCAGUCAUCAGUUCGCUAUUACUUACAGAUUGGUUAAUCAUGUUUCCAUAUUAGUUAAUAGUAGUAACUAAAGUGUUAAUGUAGUACUACUCAUUUGUCCUGCAUUAAUUCCUGCAUAAUAACAUAUUAAUGAUGGACCGUUAUUAUAAAGUGUUACCAAUUUCUGCAGAACUGGAACGCUCGCCAUUCAGAUACUUCUAAACCCACUGCAUAUUUAAGAAAUAAGGCAUGAGUGUCCGUGCUAUAUUGUGAAUAUAGUCAUGACUGAAGGGCAUUGUUAGGCACAACGCUAAGCUUGUAGAAAUAAAAAAAAAAUAAUAAAAUAAAAUUAAAAAAAAACAACUUUCAUCAAUAAUUCCCUUUUUUGUGUUUGUCUUGUUUGUGUAACGUUUGCUGAGUUGUAUUGGUGGAUACAAAAUUUUGGCUAGUCCUGCCGGCCGGGUUCGCCCCAUUGUCCUUUGAAUUUAAGAAAGAUUAUCAUGACAGGUUGGUGGAUGGAGGUUUAUUAAAAUAAAUAAAUAAAUAAAUAAAUAAAAACACUAUAGCUGUUUAUGGGACAGAAUCUCAAUAAUAAUAAUAAAAAAGUUACCAAGUGCUCUAAUCAAAACACCCA